CAGGUUCCGGUUCACGUCCAAUACAGCAGGUCAGGCUGGGCGACCCGGCGGCC
rnacentral:ncRNA from 1 species